GAUGAACGCUGGCGGCGUGCCUAAUACAUGCAAGUCGAGCGAACGGACGAGAAGCUUGCUUCUCUGAUGUUAGCGGCGGACGGGUGAGUAACACGUGGAUAACCUACCUAUAAGACUGGGAUAACUUCGGGAAACCGUAGCUAAUACCGGAUAAUAUUUUGAACCGCAUGGUUCAAAAGUGAAAGACGGUCUUGCUGUCACUUAUAGAUGGAUCCGCGCUGCAUUAGCUAGUUGGUAAGGUAACGGCUUACCAAGGCAACGAUGCAUAGCCGACCUGAGAGGGUGAUCGGCCACACUGGAACUGAGACACGGUCCAGACUCCUACGGGAGGCAGCAGUAGGGAAUCUUCCGCAAUGGGCGAAAGCCUGACGGAGCAACGCCGCGUGAGUGAUGAAGGUCUUCGGAUCGUAAAACUCUGUUAUUAGGGAAGAACAUAUGUGUAAGUAACUGUGCACAUCUUGACGGUACCUAAUCAGAAAGCCACGGCUAACUACGUGCCAGCAGCCGCGGUAAUACGUAGGUGGCAAGCGUUAUCCGGAAUUAUUGGGCGUAAAGCGCGCGUAGGCGGUUUUUUAAGUCUGAUGUGAAAGCCCACGGCUCAACCGUGGAGGGUCAUUGGAAACUGGAAAACUUGAGUGCAGAAGAGGAAGGUGGAAUUCCAUGUGUAGCGGUGAAAUGCGCAGAGAUAUGGAGGAACACCAGUGGCGAAGGCGACUUUCUGGUCUGUAACUGACGCUGAUGUGCGAAAGCGUGGGGAUCAAACAGGAUUAGAUACCCUGGUAGUCCACGCCGUAAACGAUGAGUGCUAAGUGUUAGGGGGUUUCCGCCCCUUAGUGCUGCAGCUAACGCAUUAAGCACUCCGCCUGGGGAGUACGACCGCAAGGUUGAAACUCAAAGGAAUUGACGGGGACCCGCACAAGCGGUGGAGCAUGUGGUUUAAUUCGAAGCAACGCGAAGAACCUUACCAAAUCUUGACAUCCUUUGACAACUCUAGAGAUAGAGCCUUCCCCUUCGGGGGACAAAGUGACAGGUGGUGCAUGGUUGUCGUCAGCUCGUGUCGUGAGAUGUUGGGUUAAGUCCCGCAACGAGCGCAACCCUUAAGCUUAGUUGCCAUCAUUAAGUUGGGCACUCUAAGUUGACUGCCGGUGACAAACCGGAGGAAGGUGGGGAUGACGUCAAAUCAUCAUGCCCCUUAUGAUUUGGGCUACACACGUGCUACAAUGGACAAUACAAAGGGCAGCGAAACCGCGAGGUCAAGCAAAUCCCAUAAAGUUGUUCUCAGUUCGGAUUGUAGUCUGCAACUCGACUACAUGAAGCUGGAAUCGCUAGUAAUCGUAGAUCAGCAUGCUACGGUGAAUACGUUCCCGGGUCU
rnacentral:rRNA from 1 species